UGAGGAAUAUUCUGCAAUGGGCGAAAGCCUGACAGAGCAAUAUCGCGUGAAGGAAUGAAGGCUUUAUUAGUUGUAAACUUCUUUUCUCAAGGAAGAAGAUCUGACGUUACUUGAGGAAUAAGCAUCGGCAAAUCCUGUGCCAGCAGCCGCGGUAAUACAGGAGAUGCGAGUGUUAUCCGGAAUUAUUGGGCGUAAAGCGUUUGUAGGUGGAUAUUUAAGUCUUAAGUUAAAUCUCUAAGCUUAACUUAGAAAAAGCAUAAGAAACUAAAUAUCUUGAGUAUAGUAGAGGUAAAGGGAAUUUUCAGUGUAGCGGUGAAAUGUGUUGAUAUUGAAAAGAACACCAACAGCGAAGGCACUUUACUGGGCUAGUUUAAGUAUUAACUUAAUUAAUCUGACACUG
rnacentral:rRNA from 1 species